GUACUGAUGAAGAGUCCCAAACUAGGAUGAAACAGCUGUGCAGUAC
rnacentral:hammerhead_ribozyme from 1 species